UACGUAGGGGGCAAGCGUUGUCCGGAAUCAUUGGGCGUAAAGCGCGUGUAGGCGGCUUGAUAAGUCUGCUCUGAAAGCCCGGGGCUCAACCCUGGGAGGCGGGUGGAUACUGUCGAGCUCGAGUCCGGAAGAGGCGAGUGGAAUUCCUGGUGUAGCGGUGAAAUGCGCAGAUAUCAGGAGGAACACCUAUGGCGAAGGCAGCUCGCUGGGACGUUACUGACGCUGAGACGCGAAAGCGUGGGGAGCAAACAGG
rnacentral:rRNA from 1 species